rnacentral:rRNA from 1 species
GACGAACGCUGGCGGCGUGCCUAACACAUGCAAGUCGAACGGAGAUUUCAGCAAUGGAAUCUUAGUGGCGAACGGGUGAGUAACGCGUAGACAACCUACCUUCUAGAUGGGGACAACACUGCGAAAGUGGUGCUAAUACCGAAUGUUGUAUGUGAAACGCCUGUUUCACAUACUAAAGGUGGCCUCUGUUUAUAAGCUAACACUAGAAGAUGGGUCUGCGUCUGAUUAGCUAGUUGGUGAGGUAAUGGCUCACCAAGGCGACGAUCAGUGGCCGGUCUGAGAGGAUGAACGGCCACACUGGGACUGAGACACGGCCCAGACUCCUACGGGAGGCAGCAGUGGGGAAUCUUCAGCAAUGGACGAAAGUCUGACGGAGCAACGCCGCGUGAGUGAAGAAGGUUUUCGGAUCGUAAAACUCUGUUUUCAGGGACGAAUGUGCAAUAUGUGAAUAAUGUGUUGUAAUGACGGUACCUGACAAGAAAGCCACGGCUAACUACGUGCCAGCAGCCGCCGUAA